AUUCUGCCCAAGCGAGGAAGGAUGAGAAGCUUCGACCAAGGUUCGACUUGAGCGCCAGCGAGAGAGCGUUGCCGCAGGCAACGACCCGAAGGGCGAAGCGCGCAGCGCUGAGUAAUCCUUCCCCCACCACCA
rnacentral:sRNA from 2 species